CGCAGCAUGGCUUAGUCGGUAAGAUGUUUCACUUUGGCGCAGAAGGUCGCGGGUUCGACCCUCGCUGAGGUGU